AUGGGCCUGGAUCCCUCCACCUGCAGGCUUAAGCCUACCCAUACUUCAGGAGCCAAGGAGAAGAACCACCAGCUUUACAAGUCCCAUACCAACAGAAUCAUUGCAAAGGUGAUUCCCACUUCACUAGAAGAAGAGAUCAAAGAGAUUCAUCAAAGUGGCAGUAGUAAGGCUCUGGACAACACUCCAGAGUUUGAGCCCUCUUGACAUUUUCUGCUUUUACUGGAAAGGAACGGAAACCAUUAUGAAUGAUGAGGUGACAAAGAGAUUCUCAGCAAAGGAACUGGAGUCCUCGAACCUGCUGAGCAGUACCAAUUAUAACGUUCAGUACAUCAGCCUUCAGCUCACGGUCCUGUGAGUUGACUCAGUACUGCUUCCUGCUGCCACUCAGGAUAGCACUGGCUUUCACAGGGAUUAGCCUUCUGGUGGUGGGCACAACUGUGAUGGGAUGCUUGUCAAAUGGGAGGUUUAAGGAGUUCAUGAGUAAACAUAUUCACUUAAUAUUUUACCAGAUCUGUGUGCGAGCACUGACAGCCAUUAUCGCCUACCAUGACAGGGAAAACAGACUGAGAAACGGUGGUAUCCAUGUGGCCAGUCAUACCUUGCCGAUCGAUGUGAUCAUCUUGGCCAGUGAAGGCUAUUAUGCCAUGGUAGAUCAAGUGCAUGGGGACUCAUGGGUGUGAUUCAGAAAGCCAUGGUGAGGGCCUGUCCAUUUGAGUGCUCCGAAGUGAAGGAUCGCCACGUGGUACCUAGGAGACUGAACAUGUUCAAGAUAAAAGUAAACCGCCUAUCCUCAUCUUCCCUAAAGGAACCUGCAUCAAUAAUACAUCAGCGAUGAUGUUCAAAAAGGGAAGUUUUGAAAUUGGUGCCACAGUUUACCCUGUUGCUAUCAAGUAUGCCCCUCAGUUUGGUGAUGUCUUCUGGGACAGCAGCAAAUAUGGGAUGGUGACAUACCUGCUGCAAACGAUGGCCAGCUGGGCUAUUGUCUGCAGCAUGUGGUACCUGCCUCCCAUUAUCAGAGAGGCGGCUGAAGAUGCCGUCCAGUUUGAAAAUAGGGUGAAAUCUGCCAUUGCCAGGCAGGGAGAAUUUGUGGGCCUUCUGUGGGAUGGGGGCCUGAAGAAGGAGAAGAUGAAGGAUACGUGCAAGGAGGAGAAGCAGAAGCUGUACAGCAAGAUGACAGUGGGGAACCACGAGGACAGAAGCCGCUCCUGAGCUUGCCUUGAACUGGCGGGGGCCACCUUGCCAAGAGCCAAAGGGCUAGGAGCUGGAGUUCUCAUUCUCUCCACCACACCUACUGCUGCUUCCUUUCCAGACUCCAGGGCUUCCAGGGCUGCUCUGGAACCCAGGACUCCGGCUUUUGCCCAGCCCCAGCGGGAUCCCAGUGCACCUGGCGUGGCCUGCCCUUGGUGGUCUGAACAGAUGCUGCGGGUGUCUCUGCCCAGAAGGAGA